UACCCAACUAGAAGGAUCCUUUCUCAGCCUUGUGCUUCUUCUCAAUACAGGUUGUUCUUGUUCUUGAACCGGCUCAGUUUGUGUACUUGGUUCUUGAACUUCACUCUGAUGUUCUUCAUCUUCUUGGCUUUGCUCACCUUGAUGAUGAGAACCUGAGUUGAGCUCUUCUCCUUCUUCACUCAAGCCGACUCCUUCUUGGCCAUUUUCUUGAGUUUCAGGUUCACUUUG
rnacentral:lncRNA from 1 species